AUGGCAACCGCCGUUCCACCGAUCAUCUCCCCGAAGGAAGAUCUCCCCCCUCCACUGACCUCCGCCUCCGAGCCCCCUCCGCUCUUCGACGGCACCACCAGGCUGUAUCUUGCAUAUCACUGUCCGUACGCGCAGCGCGCUUGGAUUGCCAGGAACUGCAAGGGUUUACAGGACAAGAUCAAGGUAGUCGCCAUAGAUCUGGCGGACAGGCCAGCUUGGUACAAGGAGAAAGUUUACCCGGAGAACAAGGUGCCUGCCCUGGAGCAUAACAACCAGGUGAAAGGAGAGAGCUUGGAUUUGGUCAAGUACAUUGACAGCAAUUUUGAUGGCCCAGCAUUGCUGCCUGAUGAUUCUGCAAAGAAGCAGUUUGCUGAGGAACUGCUUGCGUUCAGCGAUGGGUUUAAUAGUGCAUUUUUCUCAUGCUUACGCUCCAAGGGAGAUGUGUCAAAUGAAGCCGCUGCUGCUGUGGAUAAAAUAGAAGCUGCCUUGAAGUUCAGCGAUGGCCCAUUCUUCCUUGACCAAUUCAGUUUGGUGGACAUUGCGUAUGUACCAUUCAUCGAAAGGUUUCAGAUAUUCUAUUCUGGUAUCAAGAAGGAUGAUCUUGCCAAGGGAAGGCCCAACCUGCACAAAUUCAUUGAGGAAGUGAACAAGGUCGACGCAUAUACACAGACCAAAUUGGACCCACAGUUUCUACUUGAUCAAAUGAAGGAGAAGUUUGGGAUUGCUUGA
rnacentral:rRNA from 1 species